rnacentral:rRNA from 1 species
AGCGAACGCUGGCGGCAGGCUUAACACAUGCAAGUCGAGCGGGCACUUUCGGGUGUCAGCGGCGGACGGGUGGGUAACGCGGGGGAACGUGCCCUCUGGUUCGGAUUUACUCAGGGAUACUUGAGCUCAUACGGGAUCCGCCCUUAUGGGGACAGGCUUGCUGCCGGAGUAUGGGCGCGCGUUUGAUUCGAUGGUUGGUGGGGUAACGUCUCACCAAGGCGACGAUCAGUAGCUGGGCUGUGAGGCUGAUCAGCCACACCGGGGCGGGGACACGGCCCGGACUCCUACGGGAGGCAGGAGAGGGGGAUAUUGGACAAUGGGGGCAAGGCUGAUCCAGCCAGGCCGGGUGAGUGAUCAAGGCCUUAGAGUUGUAAAGCUCGUUUAUCCGGGACGAUAAUGACGGUACCGAAGGAAUAAGCCCCGGCUAACUUCGUG